ensembl:lncRNA
GGUGCACAAUUACUUUUGCACCAGCCUAAUAGGAUUGCAAUAGAGUGGAUUCCACAUAUAUUUAGGAUGAAAAUCUGCAGCACUUGGAAGUUAGUCUGUAUGAGCUGGAUCUGUAAAACACUUGGAGCUUUAGAGUAGAGAGAUGUAUACUUUUCAAGAGAGAAAGAAUCAGUUUUAUGGAGCUGUUUUACCUCCCACAUACUUAGGCAAAGGAUGAGAAAUGAUUCUUUAAAAAUGAAAUUGCCUUUGCAUUUCUAAAAGGCUUAGCAAUUAGAGUAACUGACCUCUUAGAAUACCUUUAGAAAACUAAGAGGGUUGAAAGGUAUCAUUGGCCUGUGCUCUUCUUUUGUCUGAUGUCACCCAGUGUCUUUCUUCCCUGUUGUCAAAAGGAAGCGCAUGUGACGACCAAGAUUACACUUGCCUUCCUAGCAACAAGUGCUAAAGGAACUUCCUGAAGCAAGGAAGAUACCAGAAACUUAAAACAACCCUUUACAUAUAUAGUUUUGAUACAGAACUGUAUCAAAACUUCAUGGGAACAGCAAACUCUAGAACUAUAGUAGAUAAAGACACAUACACACUCUCACACAAGAGAAAAAGAAAAAGCAAUCUAAGCACAACACUAAAGAUGGUCAUCAAACCACAGGAGGAGAGAACAAGAGAGGAAUGAAGAAGAAAGACCUACAAAAAAGGGCCUCCUUUGUGUCUCAGUGGUAUUUAAUUUACCUGCCAGUGCAGGAGACACAGGUUCGAGCCCUGGUCCAGGAAGAUCCCACAUGUGUUGGAACAACUAAGCCCAUGCGUCACAACUAUUGACCCUGUGCCCUGGAGCCUGGGAGCCAAAACUCCUGAGCCCAUGCUCCUGCUGCUCAGUAGCUUAAGUGGCGUCUGACUCUCUGCAACCCCAGGCAUUGUAGCCAGCCAGCCUCUUCUGUGCAUGGGCUUUUUCAGGCAAGAAUGCUGGAGUGGGUUGCCAUGCCCUCCUCCAGGAGAUCAUUCUGACCCAGUGACCGAACCCGCUUCUCUUAUGUCUUCUGCAUUCUCAGGCAGGUUCUUUACCAUUAGUGCCACCUGGGAAGCCCCAUAAAGCUUUUUGUGCGUGCAUGCUGAGUCUCUUAAGUCAUGUCCAAUUCUUUGACACCCUAUGGACUGUAGCCCACCAGGCUCUUCUAUUCCAUGGGAUUCUCCGGGCAAGAAUACUCUCACCUAUGAUAUAAUAGGGUUACAGUUGGUUGCUCUCCUGUGGUAAGCCCAUUUGCUGUUUCUUUUUUAUCUGUACAUCUUUUUGAGACCAACACUCACAUCCCAAAAGGCAAUUGUAAUCAAAGGAAGACAAAAGGAAGGCAGUAGUUUAAGGAAUUCUGAUCAGAACCAAGUUCUUAUGAUGCAGAUACUUGUAGAGAGAUUUCAAAGCACUUAAUCUGCUUUCUGAUUUCACUUGAUACACUUGAUUCACUUUCUGAUACACUUGAUGAUAGUGUAAUAACCUAUGGUAUAAGCAACCAUUGCUCUAUCUAAGGAAUCAAAUGAUUGCGAAUAUUAGGUCCUGUUUCUAAAUGUUUUCCUUUCUUUUGCAGGGUGAUAAAUGGGAGAGGGAGAGAGCUGACGUGCAUUUGAAAAAUGCACGUCAAUCAUUAGAGUCAUUUACAAAAGAACUUUGUAUUUCCUGUAAUCAUUAAAUUGAUUGACCAGUCAGGAAAAUAUGAUCCUUCUUUCUGUUUUGAGAUUGGCAAAUGGAAUCAUAAGAUUGAAUCCCAUUUUUUUCUUAAUAAAUGGAAUGUGGUUUUAAAACUUUUGCUUAGUUAUUUGGCUACCUUGGGCCUUAAUUGUGUCACUGGGGAUCUUCCUCGCAGCAUGCCAGGUCUUUUGUGCGGGCUUCUUUAGUUGUG